rfam:Mus musculus chromosome 7, GRC primary reference assembly.
CACCCCUGGCAGUGGGCAAAGAGACACCUUGUUGGUGGUGUUGGUUCUUACAUCAUUCAAGGGCAGAGCAGAUGGCAGUCAUUUAUUUGUUCAUACUAGCUUGAUACCUGGCUUGGUGGCCAAAGUGGUUUUAAACCUGUCACAUAA